GACGAACGCUGGCGGCGUGCCUAAUACAUGCAAGUAGAACGCUGAAGGAGGACCUUGCUUCUCUGUAUGAGUUGCGCACGGGUGAGUAACGCGUGGGUAACCUGCCUCGUAGCGGGGGAUAACUCUUGGAAACGAUAGCUAAUACCGCAUAAUAGUAGAUGUUGCAUGACAUUUUCUUUAAAGGUGCACUUCCAUCACUCCCAGAUGGACCUGCGUUGUAUUUGCUAGUUGGUGGGGUAACGGCUCACCAAAGCGACGAUACAUAGCCGACCUGAGAGGGUGAUCGGCCCAACUGGGAAUGGGGAACGGGCCAGACUUCUUACGGGAGGAGGAAGAGGGGAACUUCGGCAAUGGGGGGAAGUCUGGACGAACAAAGGCGGGGGAGGGAAGAAAGGUUUCGGGUCGGAAAGGUCUGUUGUGAGGGGAGAAAGGGUGGUAGAGUGGAAAGUUCACACUGUGACGGUAUCUGAACAAAAAGGGACGGCUAACUACGUG
rnacentral:rRNA from 1 species